rnacentral:rRNA from 1 species
AUUGAACGCUGGCGGCAGGCCUAACACAUGCAAGUCGAGCGGAUGAAGGGAGCUUGCUCCUGGAUUCAGCGGCGGACGGGUGAGUAAUGCCUAGGAAUCUGCCUGGUAGUGGGGGAUAACGUCCGGAAACGGGCGCUAAUACCGCAUACGUCCUGAGGGAGAAAGUGGGGGAUCUUCGGACCUCACGCUAUCAGAUGAGCCUAGGUCGGAUUAGCUAGUUGGUGGGGUAAAGGCCUACCAAGGCGACGAUCCGUAACUGGUCUGAGAGGAUGAUCAGUCACACUGGAACUGAGACACGGUCCAGACUCCUACGGGAGGCAGCAGUGGGGAAUAUUGGACAAUGGGCGAAAGCCUGAUCCAGCCAUGACGCGUGUGUGAAGAAGGUCUUCGGAUUGUAAAGCGCUUUAAGUUGGGAGGAAGGGCAGUAAGUUAAUACCUUGCUGUUUUGACGUUACCAACAGAAUAAGCACCGGCUAACUUCGUG